rnacentral:rRNA from 1 species
AGCGAACGCUGGCGGCAGGCCUAACACAUGCAAGUCGAGCGCCCCGCAAGGGGAGCGGCAGACGGGAGAGUAACGCGUGGGAACGUGCCCUUUGGUUCGGAACAACCCAGGGAAACUUGGGCUAAUACCGGAUAAGCCCUCACGGGGAAAGACUUAUCGCCGAAGGAUCGGCCCGCGUCUGAUUAGCUAGCUGGUGGGGUAAUGGCCCACCAAGGCGACGAUCAGUAGCUGGUCUGAGAGGAUGAUCAGCCUCACUGGGACUGAGACACGGCCCAGACUCCUACGGGAGGCAGCAGUGGGGAAUAUUGGACAAUGGGCGCAAGCCUGAUCCAGCCAUGCCGCGUGGGUGAUGAAGGCCCUAGGGUUGUAAAGCCCUUUCGGCGGGGAAGAUAAUGACGGUACCCGCAGAAGAAGCCCCGGCUAACUUCGUGCCAGCCGCCGCAGUAAAAC